CACAAAUUCAAUUCCUUCUAUGGGGAUCCCCCUGAAGACUGCCAGACUUCUCUGAAGACCCUACCUCCUCAGCACGUCUCCUCUAAUGACAAGAUGCAACAGGUGGAUGAACCAAACAUACAGGGAGAAGGUGCAGAAGAGAGAGGAUGAGACAACAAUACAAAAGUCAUGCAGCUUUGUAGGUUAUCUGCAGCUUGCCACUUGCCUAGCUGUUAUCAACUGAUAGUGUUCUGUAGAUAAAAUUGCAGAAGUGAGUCUUGACGAAUUUGAAGGCGAAUAAUAAAAUAGUGGCUUUAUGGAUUUUUCUGGGAUACAUGUUAAACUAAAAUGCCUCCUUAACAGUGAAUAUUUACAUUCAGUAAGUCCUACUAGAAAUAAAGCAAGUUUUAAAAUAA